AUAUUCAUUAUGAAUAUAUUGUGUACAGAGAGAUGGAGGGCUUGAUGUAGAAAUACAGCAUAGAAUAAAUUGUGGAUUGAUGAACUGGAGAAAAAUGAGUGGUGUUCUUUGUGAUAAGAGAGUGAAUUGUCAAAUGAAGGGAAAAGUGUAUAGAUCAGUUGUGAGGCCAGCUAUGCUGUAUGGA